GACGAACGCUGGCGGCGUGCUUAACACAUGCAAGUUGAACGGGCAUACAUGGAAGCUUGCUGAAGUGUAUGUUAGUAGCGGACGGGUGAGUAAUGCAUGAGAAGCUGCCAUUGGGAGGGGGACAACAGUUGGAAACGGCUGCUAAUACCCCGUAUGCCGGAAGGUAAAAGGGAGCGAUCCGCCUGAUGAGGUGCUCAUGUCCUAUCAGCUGGUUGGUGGGGUAACGGCCUACCAAGGCGACGACGGGUAGCCGGCCUGAGAGGGUGAACGGCCACACUGGAACUGAGAUACGGUCCAGACUCCUACGGGAGGCAGCAGUGGGGAAUAUUGGGCAAUGGGGGCAACCCUGACCCAGCGACGCCGCGUGAGGGAAGACGGCCUUCGGGUUGUAAACCUCUUUUGUACGGGAAGAAGGAAGUGACGGUACUGUACGAAUAAGUCCCGGCUAACUACGUG
rnacentral:rRNA from 1 species